rnacentral:rRNA from 1 species
GACGAACGCUGGCGGCGUGCCUAAUACAUGCAAGUCGAGCGCAGGAAACUGACGGAACUCUUCGGAGGGAAGGCAGUGGAAUGAGCGGCGGACGGGUGAGUAACACGUAAGGAACCUGCCUCAAGGAUUGGGAUAACUCCGAGAAAUCGGAGCUAAUACCGGAUAGUUCAACGGACCGCAUGGUCCGCUGAUGAAAGGCGCUUCGGCGUCACCUUGAGAUGGCCUUGCGGUGCAUUAGCUAGUUGGUGGGGUAACGGCCCACCAAGGCGAGGAUGCGUGGCCGACCUGGGAGGGUGAUCGGCCAACCUGGGACUGAGACACAGCCCAGACUCCUACGGGAGGCAGCAGUAGGGGAUCUUCCACAAUGGACGAAAGUCUGAUGGAGCAACGCCGCGUGAGUGAUGAAGGUUUUCGGAUCGUAAAACUCUGUUGUAAGGGAAGAACACGUACGAGAGGGAAUGCUCGUACCUUGACGGUACCUUACGAGAAAGCCACGGCUAACUACGUGCCAGCAGCCGCCGUAACAC